GACGAACGCUGCGGCGGGCCUAAACCCAGCAAGGCGAACGGAAAGGCCCUGCUUUUGUGGGGUGCUCGAGUGGCGAACGGGUGAGGAACACGUGAGUAACCUGCCCUUGACUUUGGGAUAACUUCAGGAAACUGGGGCUAAUACCGGAUAGGAGCUCCUGCUGCAUGGUGGGGGUUGGAAAGUUUCGGCGGUUGGGGAUGGACUCGCGGCUUAUCAGCUUGUUGGAGGGGUAGUGGCUUACCAAGGCUUUGACGGGUAGCCGGCCUGAGAGGGUGACCGGCCACAUUGGGCCUGAGAUACGGCCCAGCCUCCUACGGGAGGCAGCAGUGGGGAAUAUUGCACAAUGGGCGGAAGCCUGAUGCAGCAACGCCGCGUGCGGGAUGACGGCCUUCGGGUUGUAAACCGCUUUCGCCUGUGACGAAGCGUGAGUGACGGUAAUGGGUAAAGAAGCACCGGCUAACUACGUG
rnacentral:rRNA from 1 species